GUACACUGAAAAAAAUUAAUCUGAGUGGAUGUAAAUGUUAAGUAAUUAAAAUGCGUGAUAUCAACAAUAAAAUGUUAAGUUUGUGUCUUUACUUUAAUAUAUCUAGUUUUAAAUUAAUCUGCAUUUGUUCAAAAAACAAGAAAAUGUGUAUUUUAUUCCUUUACUAAAUUAAUCUAAGUAAUCCCAGCCAAGCUUUUUAGGUACACACGCACAACAAACAAUACCUUGUUUUAUUUACUCACUUGGUAAAAAAAAAAAAAAACUCCCCUUCCUGUUUCGUUGGUCUGGAAACCCCUUGCAUUCCUAACGAAGACGAACACGCGGACUGAAUUUAAGGUGAUUCUCCUGACAAUAGGCUACACUGGAUAAAGGUUUGUGAUGACGAUGAUGCUGCAGCCAUCCAAGAGGCCAUCACUUCAUUUGUGCUCAACAUCUUUGUGGUCAGCAAAGCCAGGGAUGGAGGUCUCGAGAAGAAAGUUGGAAUAGCCAUUGAGGGAGCGGAGGUCCUUUUUUGCAUUCCCAGUGUAGCACAUGCUUGCUCCUACCUUAUGGGCCUUAUUUAUGCUUUGGAACUAAGCUACCCAGAGAAACUUAAAUACACCUUUGAGGUAUUUCAGAAGAUCUUCCUGGAGCUGGAGGAUGUUAACAAAAACAUGUCCUCCAAAAUCCACGAUCACAAGAUCAGCUUACUGGCCUAAAAGCGAUACAGACAUUGUUGAAUGUAGAGGGUUUGAGUCCCUCUGGUAAAGUUUUACUGUUCAAUUUCUCAGGUCUUUUUCAGUGCACUUUCUCAAGUCACACUAAUCCUAUUUCAUAUAGGGACCAUGUUUGUGAGUGUUAAUGUUAAAGGUGCAGUUGAAGGAAAGAUGACAGUUAAGAAGUCAGAAACUAUAUUGCACAAUGUGAGUUUUUUUCAAUAGAAACCCAAAGAAACUGAAAUGUAGGUUUCUUAGAAGAUCUCCAUUGUCACACGGGGAUCAUACAUAUGAUCAUACAUGUGCAAGCGUGUUGUUUUAAAGUCUUAAGAGUAUGUUACUGUACAGGACUGAAAAACGCAAUUUUAUAGAAAAUAUUCUGUAAAUGUGUCUGAAUGGUUUCUUAUGAAGACAAUAAAGCCUGUCAACUUUCACUUAA